rnacentral:rRNA from 1 species
UACGUAGGAUGCAAGCGUUGUCCGGAUUUACUGGGCGUAAAGCGCGCGCAGGCGGCACAUUAAGUAAGGUGUGAAAUAUCCCGGCUCAACCGGGAGGGUGCACUUUAGACUGAUGAGCUUGAGGUCGGUAGAGGGGGGUGGAACUCUCGGUGUAGAGGUGAAAUUCGUAGAUAUCGAGAAGAACACCCGUGGCGAAGGCAGUUCUCUGGGACGGUACUGACGCUGAGACGCGAAAGCGUGGGGAGCGAACAGG